rnacentral:lncRNA from 1 species
AUUUCUUUCAUAGUAUAGAUUUUAUGCAGUCUUUUAAAGUUGGUUUUGAAGUAAUUUUAAUGACAUUUGAAAAUUCUAGUGUUAUAAUAUUAACUGGAAAAAUUAGAUUGUUAGCCCACAUAUGUACUUUAAUAUCAACCAGGUAAAUAUAGGCUUAUAAAAAGAAGGAAGGAACUAAGGUAAAACAGUAACUACUAUUCUCUGGAUGGUGUUGCUAUGGGUAGUUAAAUUGCUGAAUAAAUACUUUUAUAAACUUUAAGGUUUUAAAAUAAUGGAUAUGCGUGACAUUGAUUAGGAGAAACACGUGACUGGUAUAAUAAAAGCAAAAGUCUACUCAUUGUGUUGGCUUAGCUUGAGACAGCUUUAGAACACACUUCUGUGUGUCUCUCCUUUCUGUAUCCAAAUCUAGGGACUCUCAGACUCAAAUGAUGCUGCCAGUUGGAUGGGAUGGCACUCAGUCUGUUCCUUUAACUUCUUUGGGCAUCUACAUGCUGCAUGAUGAGCAGGGACUCCGGCAGCUGCAUUACCUACCUUAUAUCAGACCUUCUACAAGAUAAAGACCACUGCUCUGCAAGGUAAGAAUUACAGUUUCCAUUUAUAAAUGGAGAAACUGAGGUCCACGAAAGUUAAAUGACUUUCCGAAGGUCAACUUGACAGAGGAACCUGAAUUAAUGUU